CAACUCGACUACAUGAAGCUGGAAUCGCUAGUAAUCGCAGAUCAGAAUGCUGCGGUGAAUACGUUCCCGGGUCUUGUACACACCGCCCGUCACACCAUGGGAGUCGGGAAUGCCCGAAGUCAGUGACCCAACCGCAAGGAGGGAGCUGCCGAAGGCAGGCUCGAUAACUGGGGUGAAGUCGUAACAAGGUAAC
rnacentral:rRNA from 1 species